rnacentral:rRNA from 1 species
UUGGAGGGCAAGUCUGGUGCCAGCAGCCGCGGUAAUUCCAGCUCCAAUAGCGUAUAUUAAAGUUGUUGCAGUUAAAAAGCUCGUAGUUGAAUUUCGGGAUCAAUUUAUUGGUCGUGCCAACGGUACGCACUGGUACAAUUGGUUUCUCCCUUCUGACGAAGCAUGAUGUCAUUAAUUUGAUGUCGUGGGGAAUCAGGACUGUUACUUUGAAAAAAUUAGAGUGUUUAAAGCAGGCUUUGGCUUGAAUACAUUAGCAUGGAAUAAUGAAAUAGGACGUUUGAUCUUAUUUCGUUGGUUUCUAAGAUCGACGUAAUGAUUAAUAGGGAUAGUUGGGGGCAUUAGUAUUCAAUUGUCAGAGGUGAAAUUCUUGGAUUUAUUGAAGACUAACUACUGCGAAAGCAUUUGCCAAGGAUGUUUUCAUUAAUCAAGAACGAAAGUUAGGGGAUCGAAGACGAUCAGAUACCGUCGUAGUCUUAACCAUAAACUAUGCCGACUAGGGAUCGGAUGAUGUUGAUUUUUUAAUGACUCAUUCGGCGCCUUACGGGAAAC